UACGGGGGGAGCAAGCGUUGUUCGGAUUUACUGGGCGUAAAGGGCGCGUAGCGACUCGGUGAGCAAGUCACUUGUGAAAUCUCCGGGCUUAACUCGGAACGGUCAAGUGAUACUGUCGGACUAGAGUACAGAAGGGGCAACUGGAAUUCUCGGUGUAGCGGUGAAAUGCGUAGAUAUCGAGAGGAACACCUGCGGCGAGGGCGGGUUGCUGGGCUGAUACUGACGCUGAGGCGCGAAAGCCAGGGGAGCAAACGGG
rnacentral:rRNA from 1 species